rnacentral:rRNA from 1 species
GUGGGGAAUAUUGCACAAUGGGCGCAAGCCUGAUGCAGCAACGCCGCGUGAGGGACGACGGCCUUCGGGUUGAAAACCUCUUUUAGCAGGGAAGAAGCGAAAGUGACGGUACCUGCAGAAAAAGCACCGGCUAACUACGUGCCAGCAGCCGCGGUAAUACGUAGGGUGCAAGCGUUGUCCGGAAUUAUUGGGCGUAAAGAGCUCGUAGGCGGUUUGUCGCGUCUGCUGUGAAAACCCGAGGCUCAACCUCGGGCCUGCAGUGGGUACGGGCAGACUAGAGUGUGGUAGGGGAGAUUGGAAUUCCUGGUGUAGCGGUGGAAUGCGCAGAUAUCAGGAGGAACACCGAUGGCGAAGGCAGAUCUCUGGGCCGUAACUGACGCUGAGGAGCGAAAGCGUGGGGAGCGAACAGGAUUAGAAACCCCAGUA